rnacentral:rRNA from 1 species
UACGAAGGGGGCUAGCGUUGUCCGGAAUUAUUGGGCGUAAAGAGCUCGUAGGCGGUCUGUCGCGUCGGUCGUGAAAACUCGGGGCUUAACCCCGGGCCUGCAGUGGGUACGGGCAGACUAGAGUGCGGUAGGGGAGACUGGAAUUCCUGGUGGUAGCGGUGAAAUGCGCAGAUAUCAGGAGGAACACCGGUGGCGAAGGCGGGUCUCUGGGACGGUACUGACGCUGAGACGCGGAAGCGUGGGGAGCGAACAGG